AGAGUGAGAAAGAGAGAGAGAGAGCACAAGCAGGGAGACCAAUGCAGGGCUCGAUCCCAGGACCCUGAGAUCAUGACCUGAGCUG
rnacentral:miRNA from 14 species